rnacentral:lncRNA from 1 species
GGCCAGGGAUGGAACCCACAUCCUCUGGAUCCCGGUCGGGUUCAUUACCGCUGGUUUGCUAUGUGUUGGGGUAGAGUUUAUUUUCUUCCAGUCAAGGCUACUGACUGAUUUAUCCUUUCUCUGCCAAUUGGGAAUUCCAUAUCUAUCAUGUGUUAAAUUCUUACAUGGAUAAAAUUCACAAAUUAAUGUUUUAAAUACGUGCACCAAAUUAAUACUGUAGCCACUGGCCUAUACCACACCCAAAGCUGCCUUUUUAUUUUCAGUCUUAGCUACGUAUACAUGGAUUUUAUAUUGUGGUUAUUCCUCUAACAAUUCCUGAUGAGGGCCCAUUUGAUGUGAGGUGCUAUGCUGGGUGUGGGGGACAAAGUUAUGAACAAAACAAACAUAAAUCCCUGCCUUUGUGGAGCAAACAGGCAUGAGAGCAGACAAUGAACAAUCAAUAUGUAAAUGAGUGAUGUGUCAGGUGAAAAGAAACAACAAUAAAAAAUGGGGUAACAGGAUAGAGGGGGGAAGGGCACUAUUUUAUUUUACUUAAUUAAUUAAUUUGUCUUUUGUCUUUUUAGGGGUGCACCCACGGCAUAUGGAGGUUCCCAGGCUAGGGGCCGAAUCGGAACUGCAGCUGCCAGCCUACAUCACAGCCACAGCAACGCCAGAUCCUUUGGCCCACUGAGCGAGGCCAGGCAUCGAACCCAUGUCCUCAUGGAUGCUAGUCAGUUUUGUUACCCGCUGAGCCAUAACAGGAACUCCAGAGCUUCCAUUUCUUAGUCAGGGAAGCUUGUGGCCAUGCUGAGUGGGAGGCGCCCAUGAGAACCCCAUGUGAGGUGCCAAGGGGGCAAAUGUCACAGGGGUGUGCAGCUCAGGGUCAAGACCCUCCCCAGGGACCCUAUUCAGGGUGGAGCUGGUGGUUGAAGGCCCGAGUCUGCAGAAGUGUCCCCAAGGGACCUAAUGUAUCUGGGAAGAGGAGAGGCUGUGGCUGGACACUGCUUGUACAGGGUGGGACCAGCCGGCCUUUGGGCUGGCAGGGAACUCUGGAACUGCAAGGCUAACUUUGGGAGGCCUGGUCAACCAAGGACAUGGCUUGGAGCCUUGGGCCUCGCCUGUUUGCUAAAGCCUGUGGACCAGGGGGCAGAUGGGGCCUCCACAGCUAAAAGCCACUGUGGGGGAGGUGACAUUUCUCUAGGGACAAGCUGAGUGGGUGAACAGAGUCCCAGUCCCAGGGGUGCCUGACGCUGAGGCAGCAGAUGCAACUAUUGAGCACCAACUGUAUACCCCCACACUGGCUCUGUGCUCCACACUGGAUACCUAUUUCUGCCAAAGACACCCCCACACCGAGUGAUAAAUGCCACGUCAACUUUUGCCAGUCAACAAAUGCCAGUACAGUUGAUUGUACUGUAAACUACAACUGGCUCCAAGGGUUUUUGGGAGAUGCAGUUUGAAUUAGCAGGAGUUCCCACUGUGGCUCAGUAGGUUAAGAACCCGACUAGUAUCCAUGAGGGUGCUGGUUUGAUCCCUGGCCUCGUUCAGUGGGUUAAGCAGCUGGCAUUGCCAAAAGCUGCAGUGUAGGUCGCAGAUGUGGCUCAGAUCUGGCAUUGCUGUGGCUGUGGCUAUAGCUCCAAUUCCACCCCUAGCCUGGGAACUUCCAUAUGCCCCAAGUUCAGCCCUAAAAAAAAAAAAAAAAAAGAAAAA